rnacentral:rRNA from 1 species
UACGAAGGGGGCGAGCGUUGUUCGGAUUUACUGGGCGUAAAGGGCGCGCAGGCGGUCAUUUUUUGUCGAGUGUGAAAGCCCCGGGCUUAACCUGGGAACUGCGUCUGAUACUGGAAGGCUUGAGUAUGGGGAGAGGGAUGUAGAAUUCCAGGUGUAGCGGUGAAAUGCGUAGAUAUCUGGAGGAACACCGGUGGCGAAGGCGGCAUCCUGGACCGACACUGACGCUGAGGCGCGAAAGCGUGGG